AUAAAUUCUUUACCAAUUGUUCUUAAGGCCCUGUUUGUCCAUAAAAAAAAUUUCUAUAGAUGAAAUAAAUUAGAUGCCUUGUCUAAGCAUCUGAUGCAGCAUCUUUCAAAUUGGGCUUCUGAUAUAUGUUCAUAUUAUUAUUCCCAUUUCACAGGAUGACAUUAUCUUACCAGUGCCAACAAAGCUAUAAAUAUAAGUGGUUUGACGCAACUCAUAGCCAUUAGUACAAAAUCUUACUUGUUCUUAACUUUAGUUCAACGAGAGAAUUAAUACAGAGAAAAAUGGCAUCACUCAAAGCUGAGAAACCAGUUGGAACUCAACCAUCUGCACCAGCCAAGAAAGCAUCUGCUAAGGCUCCUCCUGCAUCCAAAUCGGCUCAGAAAAAGCCUCGUGAGCCUAAGAAGAAGGCAUCAGGUAACAAGUCAGCUGCAAAGAACUAAGAAGAAGGACGAGUAAUUAUAAGAGUAUGAUGAAGAAUAUAUAUAGCAUGCAGAUCUGUUACUAAUCAUGAAAUGCAUGGCUGCUGUUUAAACUUAUGAGUGAUAUAGUUAUUAAAGCACUGGCUUGUACUUUCUUCUCUUUGGUUUCCUAUUAAUGAAAUAAUCUCAUACUCGUAUUCGUGUUC